rnacentral:rRNA from 1 species
UACGUAGGGACCGAGCGUUGUCCGGAAUCAUUGGGCGUAAAGAGCGUGUAGGCGGCCAACUAAGUCCUGCGUGAAAUCUCGGGGCUCAACCCCGAGCGGUCGUGGGAAACUGGUUGGCUAGAGUGCGGGAGAGGAGAGUGGAGUUCCUGGUGUAGCGGUGAAAUGCGCAGAUAUCAGGAAGAACACCCGUGGCGAAGGCGGCUCUCUGGAACGCAACUGACGCUGAGACGCGAAAGCGUGGGGAGCAAACAGG